GACGAACGCUGGCGGCGUGCUUAACACAUGCAAGUCGAACGGAAAGGCCCUGCUUUUGUGGGGUGCUCGAGUGGCGAACGGGUGUGUAACACGUGAGUAACCUGCCCUUGACUUUGGGAUAACUUCAGGAAACUGGGGCUAAUACCGGAUAGGAUCUCCUUCUGCAUGGUGGUGGUUGGAAAGUUUCGGCGGUUGGGGAUGGACUCGCGGCUUAUCAGCUUGUUGGUGGGGUAGUGGCUUACCAAGGCUUUGACGGGUAGCCGGCCUGAGAGGGUGACCGGCGACAUUGGGACUGAGAUACGGCAAAGACUCCUACGGGAGGCAGCAGUGGGGAAUAUUGCACAAUGGGCGGAAGCCUGAUGAAGCAACGCCGCGUGCGGGAUGACGGCCUUCGGGUUGUAAACCGAUUGCGCAUGUGACGAAGCGUGAGUGACGGUAAUGGGUAAAGAAGCACCGGCUAACUACGUG
rnacentral:rRNA from 1 species